GACUGGGAGUCUUCGUGGUCGGAUUCCCCACCCUUCCUUACCUCGUAAACCGACAGACCUGGGUUUCGCCGCUGCUCCUGUUCCUCGAGCAGCCUUCAAGCAGUGGAAAUUACGGAGAAAUGAACAUUCUGAAAGCGCCUAGUAAAUGCUCAGGAAGAGAUCAGCACCAUGUGAGAUGCAGUAUUCUAACGCUCUGAAAUGUUACUUGUUGUUUAAUAAGUGAUCAUCAUUUAUUAAAUAUUCUUGAUCCUGGCCGGGCGCGGUGGCUCACGCCUGUAAUCCCAGCACCUUGGGAGGCCGAGACGGGCGGAUCACCUGAGGUCAGGAGUUCAAGACCAGCCUGGCCAACAUGGUGAAACCCCGUCUCGACUAAAAAUACAAAAUUAGCCAGGCGUGGUGGCGCAUGCCUGUAAUCCUAGCUACUCAGGAGGCUGAGGCAGGAGAAUCGCUUGAUUCAGUGAGCCGAGAUCGCGCCAUUGCACUCCAGCCGGGCGACAAGAGCUAAAUUGCGACAAGAGCUAAAUUCCGUCUCAAAAAACAAACAAACAAACAAAAAACUUGAUCUUUCAAACCGGGUUACAGCAGUUACCUCAUGCAAAAAAGCAGCCUUACUUAAAGGAUAAAUAACAUGCUUAAAACAUCAGACGGUACUGUGAAUCGGAGACUUGCGUUCUGGAAAAUGCCAUUAUUUACCCCUCUCUGGAAAAAGAUACCCGGCUGGGUGAUUAAUACACAAGGACACAAGGUCCAUUUCAUCACCCUUCUGGUGGAAAGCACAGAAGAAAGAUGUAAUGGCCAACUCCAAUAAAGCAUCUCUGUAAUUUCAUCUUUCUUUGGUAAUUGUCCUGAGAUCCCCAACACCACACAUUUUCUUUGAGAAAGCAUGCAUAUUUCUCUCUACCCUGUCAGGAAUUCUGCCGAUGCUUUAGUACAUUAGUCACUUAAUUCUCACAAUAACCUUUUGAGCAGGAACUUACUCUUGCUUGACAAAAGAGAAAAUUGUGGCUCAGAGAAUUUUUAAGAAGCCUGCCCAAGAUCUGGAUUUAAAUCUGAGUCUAGUCCCAUAUAGCUUGACCAAUGAAAUGGCAAUUAAGAAGGAAAUUCACCUCACCUUAUUUUUAGAGGAUAAUAGCAAUGCUGUCUGUGCACAGAUCAUGAGGAAGGUCUGUGGGUUUUGCAGAGUUGCAGAAAACAAAUUAUAACAGAAAACCAACAACUAAGAAUUUAUUCAAAAUGUUAAAAGUUCUAAUUAGAGUCUGCACAAAUUAUUCUUGAACAUACUUCAAUUUUAAUAUGCAAUUUAAGAAUAUAAAAUGCAUUCUAUAAAGAAAAAGAGAAAAAUUGACUCAAGAACAAAAACAGAGCUGUGAGAAAUGAAGACUAGUGUUGGAGUUAUCUAAACUCAGUCUUCAACAGGACUGCGUGCAACGCCAAGGCUCAGAGACAUCUCAUCAGCUUCAGGAGGUAUAUGGGUACUUCCAUCGCAAAAUGGCUCCAUCGGCACUUACACUAACAAUAUAUUGAUUUCCUGGACUUAUGCGGAUGCGUGUGAUGUUGCCACUGUGUCCCACCCCAACGUGAGUCACUUCACCCUCAUUAUAAUCCCAAACUUUGACCAGAUGGUCAUUUCCACCUGAAAAAGAUAAACACGUAUAUGGCAUUGCUGCAAUAGGAGAGAGAGAAACAGCCCUGAUUUCAAAUAACUGGAUCAUUUUCAACAUGGUCCCCAUGUAUCUGUCUUUAUAAUAACACUUUUACUUGAUUAUAAAAAUCUAUCUGUUGCAGUAAAUUUGAAGAGGAGGGGGAAAUACAAAGAGGUAAAAUCACAUUUCAUCCCACUACCCAGAAAUAACCACUAGUAAUAUCUUGGCUUAGUUCCUUCCAGUCUUUUCUCUAUAAGUAUACUGGUAUACAUAUACAUCAUAUAUAUGAUUGGGAUCACACUGUGUCUAGUUUGAUACCUGCUUUGUAGUCAAUGUACUUGUGAAACUUAAUUCAUUUCAUGCAUUUAUUUAUUUUUUACUUAUUUAUUUAUUGAGACGGACUGUCUGUCACUCAGGCUGGAGUGGAGUGGCAUGAUCUCAGCUCACUGCAGCCUCCGCCUCCCAGGCUCAAGCAAUUCUCCUGUCUCAGCCUCCCAAGUAGCUGGGAUUAUAGGCGUGCACCACCACGCCCGGCUAAUUUUUGUGUUUUUAGUAGACACAGGGUUUCACCAUGUUGGCCAGGCUGGUCUCAAACUCCUGACCCCAGGUGAUCCACCUGCCUUGGCCUCCCAAAGUGCUAGGAUUACAGGCAUGAGCCACCACGCCUGGCCGCAUUUAUUUGUUAAUAUCCUGAUGAAUCAAAGAGCUUGGCAGGAAAUGAUAAUGAUGUUCCAAUCGGCAUGUUGUGUGGUAAAUGCCCCUUUGAAAUAUUGGUUAAUUCAUUUGUUUUGGUGGGAAGGGCAUCGCAUCAUGCAAUAAUAAAGUGGAAUUAAAAGACUGGCUUUUAAGACUUUAGAAGUAUGCUGGACAGCCCAGGCCAUUUAAAGGCCCCAUUUCUAUUAUCAAUGCCCACCAAAAAUAGCAAGCCUAGCAAUCUAAGUCUUGGCUUUUAUUUGUGCUCUUAAGGCUCUUGUGCAAAUGUUUCCUCUCAUUGAAAUGUGACUUCUGGAUUUUUCUUUCUCAGCCACAUUGGCUGCAGUAUUGGUUGGAAUCUGAUUCUAACCAAGUUGCCUUGAGACCCUUUUGUUGUCUUUUCCAAUUGCCUCUAGCCUGGGAGUUCCUUCCAUGUCCUCGUCUAAAUAAGCCAGGCUUGGCUUUUUCCUAUCCCAGGACUAACCUGUGACAAAGUGCACCCCUUCCUGUGUGAUAUCCAUGCCAUUUAUCGACCCAGACAGGGAACCUUCCAAUUCUCUGAUUACUGUCCCAUCAAAUACUUCCCAGUAAGCAAUCUGGAAUUCAGGAAAGAAGCAUUAAGCAGGACUCAGCUCAGGAGAGUCAUCCAUGCACAUGCUAACAAAAGAUGGCUCUACUUUAUAUAGAAGGGAGCAAAAAUACACCACGGGAUGAUACUGGCUGAAAUUAUAAAUAGGCUACAGCAGGGGGUGGCAAAACCAUUUUAAUAUUUUUAGUAUUGGUUUUAAAUUUGCAUUCUAUUUAAAGACAUGUUGAUGUGCUGAUAAACCUGGAUUAAGACAGAAAGGGCUUUUGAUAAGACUAAGAAGAUUCAGCCUGAAGCAAGCUGUAAAAGAAAGAACAGCCUCUGCAUCCACAGCUAAGCUUCAGGCCUGGAGGGAGGAAAAGCAUUUUCUUCCUUCUCACUGGGGGAUGAGCACUCCCCACUCCCCAGAGUUCUAGAGACUGGGCUGUACAGGCACCCUCCCACUGGGACUGCGCCCUCCCUCUUCCUCACACCACCCUUAUUCCCAACUUUCCCUUCUGCUCCAAAGCACUGAAAUAUUCCACAGGGUAGAGUUUAAAGAGGAACUGGUAACCUUGGUUCCCUGUUGGGGAGCAGAACUACCUUAGGGAUGGAGAGACAGGUGCCUAAAGGAGGGUGAUUUUUUUCCUGAAUAUACUGCCUUUGUACCUUAAACUUUGUGAAUGCACAAUCUAUUCAAGAUUUAAAUUUCCUUCUUAGGAAAGAAUGCUUCUGUUUAUGAUAGCAAAGACAGGGAAUCAACCUAAAUGCCCAUCAAUGAUAGACUGCAUAAAGAAAAUGCGAUACGGCCAGCUGGGUGCAGCGGCUCACACCUAUAAUCCCAGCACUUUGGGAAGCCGAGUUGGGCCCGUUGCUUGAGGUCAGGAAUGCGAGACCAGCCUGGGCAAUAUGGUGAAACCCUGUCUGUACUAAAAAUACAAAAAUUAGCUGGAUGUGGUGGCACACACCUGUAGUGCCAGCUACUUGGGAGGGUGAGGCAUGAGAAUCACUUGUACCCAGGAGGUGAAAGUUGUAGGAGGUUGCAGUGAGCUGAGAUUAUGCCACUGCACUCCAGCCUGGGUGACAAAGUGAGACUCUGUCUCCAAAAAAAACAGAAUAAACUUAAGAAAAUGUGGCAGAUAUAUACCACGGAAUACUAUGCAGCCAUGAAAAGGAACAAGAUCAUGUCCUUUGCCGGGACAUGGAUGGAGUUGGGAGCCAUUAUCCUCAGCAAACUAACGCAGGAACAGAAAACCAAACACCACAUGUUCUCACUUACAAGUGGAAGCUGAAGGAUGAAAAGAGAUGGACACGUGGGGAAACAACACACUCUGGGGCACCUGUCGGGGGGUGGUGGGUGGGGGGAGGAAGAGCAUCAGGAAGAAUAGCUAAUGCAUGCAGGGCUUAAUACCGAGGUGAUGGGAUGAUCCGUACAGCAAACCACCACGGCACAUGUUUACCUAUGGAACAAACCUGCACAUCCUGCACAUGUACCCCUGAACUUAAAGUUGAAAAAAAAAAAAAAAAAAAGAGUGCUUGACCAGGAAUCAGGAGUGCAAACCUGCACGUGCAUUUCAUUUGUUUCUCAUUGUUUCAUGUCGGAAACGUGCUGUGUUCCAGUCACUCUGCCAGGAGUCUGUAUUCCUCUGAAUCUAGCUAGACAUUAUGCAUACUAUUUCUUGUUAAUUUUUUUCUUUUGCUUUGUAAUGUCUGUUGAUGCUUGAUCAUGUUAACAAAAAAGUUCUGAUUUCAUAGUAAACGCCUAAAGAGAUAGAAAACCAUGCCAGAACCCAUGUUUCUCAGGAUUCACACCCACAGAAGUAGUUGGAACUUGACUGCCUGCCUUCCCAGCCAAAGAAGCCAAAUUGACACUCUCCUGGGCAGCCCCAGUAGGGCUCCAUCUUACUGGAGUGUCCUCUGCCAGAGAUGCCCUUCCUUGAGGUCUAGGCAUUGACUGAGUCCUUCUGUCAUUCAGGCCUCACUCAGAUGCUGCUCCUUAAGGAGGCCUUCACCCACCACCCCAGCUGAAGGAGCUUUCCCCCGCCCGCCAGUAUCAUGUCACCAGUUCUAUCUCCUUUCUCAGUCCUUUCACCAUCUCAUCUCUUGUUCACUUGUUAUUCAUUGUCCAUUCAUGGAUUGGUUCAUGUGUGUAUUAGCCAAUUCCAUCCCCUCCUACCCAAAAUAAAUUAGGGAAGUAAGGUUCAUGAGAGCAGGGACCCCUUGCUUGCUCCAAGGGUGAACAUUCCCCCAAACAGAAGGAUGAACCUUCACCUUCCUCUUUAGCUGGGAAAUCUGUACCAUAUGUAGAAUUUUUUUUUUUUUUUAAGAGAGAGUCUUGCUCUGUCACCCAGACUGGAGUGCAGUGGUGCAAUCUUGGCUCGCCGCAACCUCCACUUCCCAGGUUCAAGCAAUUCUCAUGCCUCAGCCUCUUGAGUAGCUGAGAUUACAGGCACCCGCUACCACACCCUACUAAUUUUUUGUAUUUUUUGUAGAGAUGGGGUUUCACCAUGUUGGCUAGGCUGGUCUCGAACUCCUGACCUCAGGUGAUCCACCCGCCUCAGCCUCACAAAGUGCUGGAAUUACAGGCAUCAGCCACCACGCUUGGCUCCGUGUGUAGAUUUUUAAUGUAUUGAUGAAGUACAGUGCUGAGAGAUGAGGAGCUCUAUUGCCUUUCUGUCUGAAUUUAGUCAAAGUGAUAACCGGUUUGGGCACAGCAAUUCUACUCCAGUCUCAGAAAUUCCCUAAUAAUAAAAACCAAUCUAUUGAGUACCUACUAUGUGCCAGACCCCCUGCUAUAAGCACCAUGAGCAAGCAUGACUUUAAUCCUUACUCUAUGAGGUCAGUGGUACCAUUUCCACUUAACAGGUGGGGAAGUGAAGACACUGGAAGGUGAUAUGGCCUUUCCAAAGUGGCAUGGCUGAUUGAUGACAGACCACCAUUGGAAACAAGGUGGUUUGACUCCAGAGCCCGCACCCUCCACCACAACGCCUCACUGCUUUUCUCUUGCGCUGGAAAGAUCUCAUCUCUCACUGGGAGGACUCACCUUUCUGUCUGUUCCGCUGGUGAUGAUCUGGAACUCCUCAGGGUGAUAGCACACACACUGGAAUAAGGUGUUGGCUAGUAUCAUCUGAUUCCUCCUGAGACGCCUGGAAAGUAGAUUCAAAAGCUGUGAAAGUCGACUUUCUCUUCCCUAGGAAAUUUAUUCACUAUUCAAGCUGGAUUUGGUGCAAGCUGGGAUUUGGGUUGGUUUAUCUCCAUGCCAAACAUCUCAUACUGCUCAGCAAAGUGGUGCUUGUAUUUCUUCAAAACAGACUUCAGGUCACCCUGUCCUCUCUACUUCUGUGUACUCCGGUUGGCCUAUCAGUGACCACCAGAGGACAAUGGGAAGGGCCCUUUCCUAAAGACAGAGCACGAAACUCAAUGAGAACCCUUAAGUUCCAGGGAAGAAGAAGCAGAAGAGGCUGAACUCACAGCCAACCUGCUGCCUCCCACACAAUGUACUUGAGUCCUGAGGCCACCAUUUGGAAGUGGAGCUCCCUACAGUCUGAGAAGCAGAAUGUGGGGAAGGGUAUUUUAUUUUGUUUAUGUUUUAAUCAUCGAUGUAUCUUUAAUUCACAAAUAAAAGCUGUAGCAAGAUGUCAUGUACACAUUUGUACACAGGUUUGGACGUACCAUAUCAUGCACAACCCUCGGAAAGCACGAGCCUGUCACGUGGGGAUGUCCCAAAAGCUGGCAGGCUCAACCCUUGUCUGCAUAUGGUAAGAAGUCCCUCCCAAGACCCACCCCCUACCCUGCCCAGGGUGCCCCCAAGAGGGAGCUGGCCUCCCGCAACUGAAGAGAGCCCGGCCUGGGAAGGGUAUUUUUAAAAUGGGUAUUAUGGGCCGAGUGC
rnacentral:lncRNA from 1 species